UGCAUCGGCCGCGAAUCGAACGGCGCCCGCGUGGCAGGCGAGCAUUCUACCACUGAACCAAAAGC